CCCUCCUAAAGUCUUUAUCCUCUUUUACAAAAGUUUUUGUUUGAUGACAUUAUUGUUCAUAAUAAGUCUUUUCUUUAGUUGAUUGUAAUUUUUGGUGUAAAAUCUUCAAAGAAAAAUUGUUUAAAUAUACUUCAGACAAAAACAAACAAAAAACAAUGACAAAUAUUUCAGAUGUUGUUCAGAAAUGAUAGUUUUGAAAUUAUUUUUUCUGUGUGUCUCUCGCAGUUUAAGAAAAGAACAUAUUUAGAUAACAGGAGUAUAAAAGCAGGAGAUGACUUUAGGAGGGUCUUCAGGAAAUGCUCCAUCCAAAUAAUUUUUCAUUGUUAGUAUCGUAUUUCUUCAAGUGACAUUUACAAUAUCUGAUCGGUUUUUAACAAGUAAACAAUGAGUCAUAUUUUUAUGGAGCAUUUCCAAAGGGUCGAGGUUAGGGAGGGUCAGACCCUCCUAAAGUCUUUAUCCUCUUUUACAAAAGUUUCUGUUUGAUGACAUUAUUGUUCAUAAUAAGUCUUUUCUUUAGUUGAUUGUAAUUUUUGGUGUAAAAUCUUCAAAGAAAAAUUGUUUAAAUAUACUUCAGACGAAAACAAACAAAAAAAUAAUGAGAAAUAUUUCAGAUGUUGCUCAGAAAUGAUAGUUUUGAAAUGAUUUUUUCUGUGUGUCUCUCACAGUUUAAGAAAAGAACAUAUUUAGAUAACAGGAGUAUAAAAGCAGGAGAUGACUUUAGGAGGGUCUACAGGAAAUGCUCCAUCCAAAUCACUUUUUCAUUGUUAUUGUAAUUCUUGAAAUUACAUUUUCAACAACUAAUCUAUUUUUGACAUGUAAACAAUGAGAGUCAUAUUAGGAUGGAGCAUUUCCAAAGGGUUGAGGUUAGGGAGGGUCAGACCCUCCUAAAGUCUUUAUCCUCUUUUACAAAAGUUUCUGUUUGAUGACAUUAUUGUUAAGUGUUUUCUGUCAGUUGUACAUUUUGCUGUAAAGUUUCAAAAAAAGCCUUUCAAAUUUUGUGAUGAAGAAAAAUCUUUAAAAUGUCACCCAUUCAUGGCACGUUUUGAAAAACAUAUUUAGAUAACAGGAGUAUAAAAGCAGGAGAUGACUUCAGGAGGGUCUUCAGGAAAUGCUCCAUCCAAAUUACUUUUUCAUUGUUAUUGUGAUUCUACACAUUACAUUUUCAACAAUUAAUCUAUUUUGAACAUGUAAACAAUGAGAGUCAUAUUUGUGUGACUUGUUAUGAUUCACUGUAUUAACUUGUGAGAUCUGGAAAGUAUUUUCUGAAAUGGAAACUAAUUAUUGUCUAAACAGUAAGUCAUCUUAGGAUAGAGCAUUUCCAAAGGGUUGAGGUUAGGGAGGGUCAGACCCUCCUGAAGUCUCUAUGCUCUUUUACAAAUGUUUGAUUUAAUCAAUGUUAAUGAGGAUUCUUUCUGAUGUUUUAACAUCUAUAAAGAAAAAAAUACAGAAAAAAUGACAAAUGGUGAGGAUUUCCUGUUAUGUUUCAUGUUUUGGGUUUGGUUUGGUUUGGUUCGGUCCGUCUCUCGUUUUUCUCUUCUCUCUGGUUUCCUUUCAGUGUGAUCCUGAAGACGUGGCUCGUCUCCCUGCAGCUCAUUCCGGAUCAGCAGCUCCUCCAUAAAACCUGGACUUUUCUCUUCUCUGGUCCCAGAUUGUUCUGUGCGUUUGGUACAACAACUGUUCCUCUCCUGCUUCUCCAGUCAUUCAACCUGACCGUGAAAACCGUUGACACCCACCUGAGGGAGACGCUGCCUAAGAUCUCAAGGCUGCUUGGUCGUGGUCUUCCUGGUCCUGCUCCAGAACAUCUUCAUCAACUACUUCUUCUUUUGAAGAGGACCUCAGAUGCUGCAAUCUCUGACCUUAAGGAGGAACUGCUACUUUCACUCUGUAAUGAGAUGGCGGUUAUUUUAAAGACCCAGCUCCUGGCAGCUUUGAGUGAAAAUUUAACAUCCAUCAAAACGGAACUGCAGACAGUUAAAUCUGAGCUGUCGGUCAGUAUUUCAAACAUCAAGUCUGACCUGGGUGUCCUAAAGCACGCUGUGGGUGAAACAGAAACUUCAGUCUCCACAUCACCGACAACAUCGUCACACUCUAAAGCAGAGCACCUGUCUGCUGAACUUUUAAAAGUGUACUAAAAAGGUGAAGAAUGUGAGCAGCGGAACAGAAGUGAUCAUAAAGAAGUCACUUUCUUUUUUCUUUUCUUUCUGGUUGACUUGAUGCUGUCAGAUGCAGAUGUUGGAGCUGAUUCUGAUCUUUCAGGAUAAAAAGCUGCUUUUCCUUCAUACACUUUUCAGGAAAUUAUUCUCUCGGGUUUUCUCUGCAAUUUAUAUUUUUGCUAUCUGUGAUUAUUUCAUUAUUGUAAAAUAUAGUUGGAGGCAUAAAGACUCAUUUAGUUAUUUUAUUCCUGAAUGCUUUGCAGAACUAAACUUCCAUUUUCCUUCUUGUACUUCUGAUACUAGAACUAAACGUGUCUUCAACACGGAUCAUCUGGUUUUAAUGAAUCAGCAGCAACAGCACAACAACAAAUGAGACAAUUUUCAACAAAUUAAUGAAGAUUGAUGCUAGAGGUACGGACCCAUACCCGUAGCAUCUGUACUAGAGGUACGGAUAUAGGGAAUAUAUGACAUAUACAUUGCCAUUGUUUCAUGCCGUGAUUUUGUUUGUAUGUAUUCAGCUGUUAUAUAACUUUAACCAUGACAUAGAUCUACUGAAAUACAUCUUAUACUCUAUUAUAAACCUUUCUACACCGCGGUGAUCUCAUUCAUCUUUAUUGCUUUUUAAAUAACUGGCCAAAGACAGCGGGUGUAACUAUAGUGAAUGCAGUAGGGACAUAUGUAUAUAGAGCACAAGCCAGUUCAUAUCGACAUGGAAGUCCUGUUUGCCGUGAAAAUGGCCACUCGAUAGGGGGCGCUGGGGUAUUUCAGGCAGCGAGAAUUAAAGAAGCAAAUGGAAAGUGCCGUAUCCGUAGGCCACAGGCUGCGCGUACGGGUCCGUAUCUGUAGACACUACGAUUAAUGAAACUGAUGUCAUUUAAAACUAUCAGAGUCUGUUUUAGUGUCAAAUUAAAGCUAAUUCCUAACAACUAGAA